UAUAAGAGUAGGAUGCACAUCUAGAUAGAAUCUAUUGAUCUUGAUAGAGAGGAGUAGUCCUAUAGGAUUUGAGUGGCUAAGUCUGAGAGUUUGUGGCCAUCGCAGCAUGAUUGAUGAAAAAAAAUUUCUAUAAAGAUCAUAAUUGAAUUUAAGCUGAUCGAAUCUAUAAUAUGAUUGAUGAUGAGGUUUGAUGAUUUAUCCAUGACUUGCCAUCU
rnacentral:lncRNA from 1 species